UAUUGGUAUGAGCUUUUGUGUGCAUGCACACUUCUCAGAAGAAGUGUGCAUGCACACAAAAGCUCAUACCAAUG